rnacentral:rRNA from 1 species
GCUUAGAAGCAGCCAUCAUUUAAAGAGUGCGUAAUAGCUCACUAGUCGAGUGACACUGCGCCGAAAAUGUACCGGGGCUAAACAUAUUACCGAAGCUGUGGAUUGUCCUUUGGACAAUGGUAGGAGAGCGUUCUAAGGGCGUCGAAGCAUGAUCGCAAGGACAUGUGGAGCGCUUAGAAGUGAGAAUGCCGGUGUGAGUAGCGAAAGACGGGUGAGAAUCCCGUCCACCGAUUGACUAAGGUUUCCAGAGGAAGGCUCGUCCGCUCUGGGUUAGUCGGGUCCUAAGCUGAGGCCGACAGGCGUAGGCGAUGGAUAACAGGUUGAUAUUCCUGUACCACCUAGUAUCGUUUUAAUCGAUGGGGGGACGCAGUAGGAUAGGCGAAGCGUGCUGUUGGAGUGCACGUCCAAGCAGUAAGGCUGAGUGUUAGGCA